CUUUUGUCUCCCUGGGAAACAGAAGUUGGUUUCCAGAGUCUUCUACAUGGCCCAAGGAUACGCUGAGGAGAAGACUCAUUGUUAACACAGUUACCAGUCAUCCUCCUUCCAGUGGAAGUUCAGCAGUUCAAGUCAGAGAAAUGAACAGUAGACCACACUGAUGACUGGGGACAGGGAGGAGCCUUCUAGGCAGCUGACGACCUUUCUCCAAUUGCUUACAAUACUGGUUUCCAGUCCUGGAUAUUACUCAAAAGACAAGGCCCAGAGCACCUGUGUUGUUACAUACAUAUUUUUUGUCUUGAAAAUGCUGCUGAAGGUUAAAAAGUUAUUACAAAAGAUCAUCACAGAAGAGACACCAAGGGACUGA
rnacentral:lncRNA from 1 species